rnacentral:rRNA from 1 species
CCCUUAGAUGUUCUGGGCCGCACGCGCGUUACACUGAAGGGAUCAGCGUGUUUUCCCUUUCCGAGAGGAACGGGUAACCCGCUGAACCCCCUUCGUGGUAGGGAUCGGAGCUUGCAAUUGUUCUCCGUGAACCAGGAAUUCCCAGUAAGCGCAAGUCAUAAGCUUGCGUUGAUUACGUCCCUGCCCUUUGUACACACCGCCCGUCGCUACUACCGAUUGAACGUUUUAGUGAGGUAUUUGGACUGGGCCUUGGGAGGUUUCGGCCUCCCUUGUUGCUCGGAAAGACUCCCAAACUUGAGCGUUUAGAGGAAGUAAAAGUCGUAACA